rnacentral:misc_RNA from 1 species
GAUCGCCGUAUGCGGUGAAAGCCGCCCGUAUGGUGGAGGCUCGCUGAAGGCUUGAAUAUAUAAAGAAGGCACGAGGCGAGAAU